rnacentral:misc_RNA from 1 species
GUGGUGUUUGGAUCGUCUCUGCCGGCUGGCUCCGUGCCCGUCCACCGAACGGCCGGCAGGCGAUCCGCGUCGGUCGCGCGAGGUGGUGUUAUGUAUGGUUACCCAGAGGCCGGUUCUUGUGUUGCCUACCCCUUCAGGGGAAGCGCAUGCCACUUGAUGUAAAAGCCUCCACCCGGCGCCCUCCAGUGGGCGCCGGAGGACAGCGGAGCACCCCCCGCGUUCCACCGAGCCCCCGUCGGUCGCGUGGCAAGCGGGGACGUGCGAUGCUCUCGGACCCAGCGCACGCCGUGGGCGAGGACUCGCGUCCCAGUCCCAAGAGAAAGCUUCGAUGCGAUGUCGACGGCCGCUCCCGCCCCCGACCGCCCCGGCGGCGCGAGGGCGAGGCGCGGCGUCUCGGAGGAAUGCUACCU